ensembl:lncRNA
GCUCCAAGAAGCCAGCCUUCCUGGAUUCUAUCCAAGGGUUCUCUGGCCCUCUGACCUCUGAUUUGGUUUGAACAGUGGGAAGCAUUAGCCAGCAGUGUGUUUAAAGGGUUAUGUAAGACUGCAUUGAAAAUCACCAUUCAAACUGGAGGCUCCAAAUAACAGAAAUAUUAUUGGAAAUCCUUGAAGGGCCCAGCAGGAUGCGAAGAGUUGACUCAUUGGAAAAGACUGAUGCUGGGAGGGAUUGGGGACAGGAGGAAAAGGGGACAACAGAGGAUGAGAUGGCUGGAUGGCAUCACUGACCCGAUGGAUGCCAGUUUGAGUGAACUCCAGGAGAUGGUGAUGGACAGGGAGGCCUGGCGUGCU